UACAGAGGGUGCAAGCGUUGUUCGGAAUUAUUGGGCGUAAAGGGCGCGUAGGCUGUGCGGUAAGUCUGUAGUGAAAUCUCUGGGCUCAACUCAGAGUCUGCUGCAGAAACUGCCGUGCUUGAGUGUGGGAGAGGUGAGUGGAAUUCCCGGUGUAGCGGUGAAAUGCGUAGAUAUCUGGAGGAACACCGGUGGCGAAGGCGGCAUCCUGGACCAAUACUGACACUGAGGAGCGAAAGCCAGGGGAGCAAACGGG
rnacentral:rRNA from 1 species